GACAUGUGGUAUUCUCUUCCGGGGAGCUCGCAGUAGCAGCUGUAUCCAAAGCAAACAUGGGAACAGGCGCGAGAGAGUCAGAAGACCUUAAAAUGUUUAAAUCUAAAGCAGCGUCGGUCCCUUUACCGAAAUACUCCUAUUGGUUUGACUUUUGGGCAUUCGUGGUCUUUGACAUCGUGUUUUUCCUCGUCAUGUAUUUCAUAGUGCCGUAAAAAGGUUUGUCCCAUGGGAUGGAGCCUGAAGACACGGAGGCCUGGUCCUGCCGUCAGGAACACUAACCCAGCUUUGACUGAAUAUAGCGGCACUUUAUUGGAUAUCACAUCCCAAGUUUCCACAGCUUGGACCCUGAAACCACCUGAUUGCUGUGUUAUAUAAUUCCCUCUGUGACCUGUUGCCAGUUGCUGUGUACUGCCUGGAUGGAUUCAUGGUGUUGCUGUGUGGAAGAAAUAAAUUCCAAGUGUUUCUAAUGAAAAGCGGCAGUGUCCGUUUGAUAUUCCAGUGUUGUGGUAGGGGGGCUUGUGACGACAGCAGAGAAACAAGACACCAUGAACAAUAUGAUGUUGUGGAGUAUGAGUCCAACAUACUAAAGUCUUAAAAGUUUGCACGUGGAAAAUACUGCAAAUAAAGUAUUUUGCCUACCUGCUAAA